GGCUGAAAUUCGCCUUCACGAAGUCGGAAUUGCUAGUAAUGGCAGGUCAGCAUACUGCCGUGAAUACGUUCCCGGGCCUUGUACACACCGCCCGUCACACCAUGAGAGUUAGGAAUACCCGAAGCCUGUGAGCCAACUUUAUAAGAGGCAGCAGUCGAAGGUAGAACUAAUGAUUGGGGUGAAGUCGUAACAAGGUAAC
rnacentral:rRNA from 1 species